AUUGGACGCUGGCGGCAUGCUUUACACAUGCAAGUCGAACGGUAACAGGCCGCAAGGUGCUGACGAGUGGCGAACGGGCGAGUAAUGCAUCGGAACGUGCCCAGUCGUGGGGGAUAACGCAGCGAAAGCUGCGCUAAUACCGCAUACGAUCUGUGGAUGAAAGCGGGGGACCGUAAGGCCUCGCGCGAUUGGAGCGGCCGAUGUCAGAUUAGGUAGUUGGUGGGGUAAAGGCUCACCAAGCCAACGAUCUGUAGCUGGUCUGAGAGGACGACCAGCCACACUGGGACUGAGACACGGCCCAGACUCCUACGGGAGGCAGCAGUGGGGAAUUUUGGACAAUGGGCGCAAGCCUGAUCCAGCAAUGCCGCGUGCAGGAAGAAGGCCUUCGGGUUGUAAACUGCUUUUGUACGGAACGAAAAGGCUCUGGUUAAUACCUGGGGCUCAUGACGGUACCGUAAGAAUAAGCACCGGCUAACUACGUGCCAGCCGCCGCCGUAACAC
rnacentral:rRNA from 1 species